UACGAAGGGGGCUAGCGUUGCUCGGAAUUACUGGGCGUAAAGCGCACGUAGGCGGCUUUCUAAGUCGGGGGUGAAAUCCUGGAGCUCAACUCCAGAACUGCCUUCGAUACUGGAGAGCUUGAGUCCGGGAGAGGUGAGUGGAACUGCGAGUGUAGAGGUGAAAUGCGUAGAUAUCGGGAGGAACACCAGUGGCGAAGGCGACUAUCUGGGCUGCAACUGACGCUGAGGCGCGAAGGCUAGGGUAGCAAACAGG
rnacentral:rRNA from 1 species